rnacentral:rRNA from 1 species
UACAGAGGCCUCGAGCGUUAGGCGGAAUCACUGGGCUUAAAGCGUGUGUAGGCGGAUGCCUAAGUACCUUGUGAAAUCCCACGGCUCACCCGUGGAACGGCUGGGUAUACUGGGUGUCUUGAGCCACUUAGGGGCUGCCGGAACAAAUGGUGGAGCGGUGAAAUGCGUAGAGAUCGGAAAGAACACCAACGGCGAAAGCACUCUGCUGGGCCGACACUGACACUGAGAGACGAAAGCUAGGGGAGCGAAUGGG